ACUAAGAGAAAAAGGAGGGAAGGGAAAAGGAAAACUAAGGGGGGGGCACUGAAAGGAACACUAAGGGUGUUCUCCCCCAACCCCCUUAGUGUUCCUCUUCCCCCCCCCCCCCUUAGUGUUCC